rnacentral:rRNA from 1 species
AACGAACGCUGGCGGCAUGCCUAACACAUGCAAGUCGAACGAGACCUUCGGGGUCUAGUGGCGCACGGGUGCGUAACGCGUGGGAAUCUGCCCUUCGGUUCGGAACAACAGUUAGAAAUGACUGCUAAUACCGGAUAAUGACGUAAGUCCAAAGAUUUAUCGCCGAAGGAUGAGCCCGCGUAAGAUUAGGUAGUUGGUGGGGUAAUGGCCUACCAAGCCGACGAUCUUUAGCUGGUCUGAGAGGAUGAUCAGCCACACUGGGACUGAGACACGGCCCAGACUCCUACGGAGGCAGCAGUGGGGAAUAUUGGACAAUGGGCGAAAGCCUGAUCCAGCAAUGCCGCGUGAGUGAUGAAGGCCUUAGGGUUGUAAAGCUCUUUUACCAGGGAUGAUAAUGACAGUACCUGGAGAAUAAAGCUCCGGCUAACUCCGUG